AAAGAUUUCCGUGGAGAGGAACAAUU
rnacentral:piRNA from 4 species